UUGACCCUGAUGCACAGGGAAAAACGCAUCUGGACAGACAGAAAACGCACGGGAGGGCUCUCCUCGAUGCGCACGGACACAGCCGCCGCCGCCGCCGCCGCCGCCGCCACACGCGGCCGCGCGGCCGCUCUUCCUCUCCGACUCCGGCCAUCCGCAACCCUCUUCUCCUUCGCCUUGCUGCGUCCAGCGUAGGUCCCCGCCGCCGGCCCAAAACGGUGUCCUGGCCGCCGGCUCCUCUCGGAGACUCGGACACAUUGGAGCGACGUCUCACGCGCGAUGUCAGUGGACAAGACGGCCACCAUCAGCGUGGGGAGCAAUGGAUGUGGAAUAUCUGCUGUGGUGGUUCUCAUCUGGCCUUAGUUCCAGGUGCCUUGCACGAUGGUUGGUCUACAUUGAUGGAAAUGACUAUUUGAGCAGGGUGCUGUGCUGAGGUAAAUGUGAUUUCUCUGAAUGCAAUUCUUUUGCCAUUACGAGAUGGUUUAGGAAAAGAUCAGAGUGUGCAUUUGAAUUGUUUACGUGAAAACAAUCUUUUUAUUAGCAGAAGCAAGGUAAAAACCAGAUAAAGGGGAAUGGGGCUAAGAACUUGGUUUCCAAUUUUUUAAGACACCGUUCCUUUUUACCUCUCAUCAGUUUGUUCACACAUUUACAAGGAUCUGUUUACAUAAGGACACGGACUUUGAUUGGUGACAACCUUUGCUCACAUAUUUACCUGCAAUUUGUACAAUACACACAACUUGAAUCGAUUGAAUUAGUCAAUAGCUGGAGAUCUUAAUUAGAAUCCGAGCACUUCUGUCAAGGUCUCUAGAUCAUAGUUCAGUCCGGCGAGGUAAGCUGUAGUGGUAUUUCACAUGCUACACUUGCAUGUGUAUCGACUACAUGCUUCUGCCUUUUCCUCAUUUCUGCAGUAAUUGUAACUGUAUUUCUGAUGGAGCAGGAAACCAACAAGACAUGAAAAACGCUUAUAAUCACCUGACAGAUUACAGCUCCCGCGUCCGCCACUUCCCCUGCACUCCACGUGCCCCAUGGGCUGGGGCUGCAUUUUAGUUUUGAUCAUAUAUGAACUUACAAGUUACAACCGUAAAGGUUGAACAACAUCGGUUCUUUUUUGAUGGAUUGAACAACAUCAACAAGAAGUUUCUUCCUCAGUU